rnacentral:tRNA from 2 species
GGGGCCUUAGCUCAGUUGGCAGAGCACCGGCUUUGCAAGCCGGGUGUCAGGGGUUCGAAUCCCCUAGGCUCCACCA